GGGCCCUACGGGAGGCAGCAGUGAGGAAUAUUGGUCAAUGGGCGGGAGCCUGAACCAGCAACGCCGCGUGAAGGAAGAAGGCUUUCGGGUUGUAAACUUCUUUUAUGAGGGACGAAAGAAAUGACGGUACCUCAUGAAUAAGCCACGGCUAACUACGUGCCAGCAGCCGCGGUAAUACGUAGGUGGCAAGCGUUAUCCGGAUUUACUGGGUGUAAAGGGCGUGUAGGCGGGACUGCAAGUCAGAUGUGAAAAUUAUGGGCUCAACCCAUAACCUGCAUUUGAAACUGUAGUUCUUGAGUGAUGGG
rnacentral:rRNA from 1 species